CGGUGUCGAUCUGCUGCGCGCUGAUGAAGUGGAUGUGGGUGUCGAUGCCGCCGGCGGUGAGGAUGCGGCCCUCCCCCGCGAUGAUCUCGGUGGCGGCGCCGAUGGUGAUGGUGACGCCGUCGGAGAUCUGCGGGUUGCCCGCCUUGCCGAUCCGGAAGAUGUGCCCGUCGCGCAGCGCGACGUCGGCCUUGAUGAUGCCGGUGUGGUCGAUGAUCAGCGCAUUGGUGAUGACGGUGUCGGGGAUGUCGUGCUCACGGGUGAGCACGCCGUUCUCGCCCAUCCCGUCGCGGAUCA
rnacentral:sRNA from 1 species